AUGCUUGAUGAGAACAACAUCAUUGCAAAGUCAUUCAGAAUGGCAAGAGAUAGAUUCGAAGAAGAAGACUACCACGAUUACAUGCUUCAAAUACUUGGGAAAAGGAAUGGAACACACAACCUUCCAUCUGCAUCAGAAAUUGCGGCAUUAGUUGUAAGAGACCCUACUGGAGAGAGCGAAGGACGAGACAUCGUUGUCGAGUACAAAAAUAUGGAAUCUCACAGAAUAUCGGAAAUCCAUCCGAAAUUAAUGUCAAUGCAAUACCCGUUGUUGUUUCCAUACGGAGAAGAUGGAUUCAAGCUUGAAAUACCUUACAAGGGAACAAAAGAAGGUGAAAAAAGAAGGAAAUAUGUAACUAUGCUGGACUACUAUGCAUACUACCUACAGCAAAGACCCGACCAAGGAAUGUCUUUGCUAACGUCUAGACAUCUAUCGCUUCAAUUUUGGGUGGAUGUUUACACAUGCAUUGAGCAAAACAGACUAAACUGGAUCAGGAAUAAUCAAGGGAAGCUACGAACUGAACUUUACAGUGGACUGCAGGACGCGAUUGAGCGAGGGGACACCAGGACAGAGUAG
rnacentral:rRNA from 1 species